rnacentral:rRNA from 1 species
UGGGGAAUUUUGGACAAUGGGCGAAAGCCUGAUCCAGCAAUGCCGCGUGUGUGAAGAAGGCCUUCGGGUUGUAAAGCACUUUUGUCCGGAAAGAAAUCCUCUGGGUUAAUACCUCGGGGGGAUGACGGUACCGGAAGAAUAAGCACCGGCUAACUACGUGCCAGCAGCCGCGGUAAUACGUAGGGUGCAAGCGUUAAUCGGAAUUACUGGGCGUAAAGCGUGCGCAGGCGGUUUUGUAAGACGGAUGUGAAAUCCCCGGGCUUAACCUGGGAACUGCAUUCGUGACUGCAAGGCUAGAGUAUGGCAGAGGGGGGUAGAAUUCCACGUGUAGCAGUGAAAUGCGUAGAGAUGUGGAGGAAUACCGAUGGCGAAGGCAGCCCCCUGGGCCAAUACUGACGCUCAUGCACGAAAGCGUGGGGAGCAAACAGGAUUAGAUACCCUGGUAGUCCACGCCCUAAACGAUGUCAACUAGUUGUUGGGGAUUCAUUUCCUUAGUAACGUAGCUAACGCGUGAAGUUGACCGCCUGGGGGAGUACGGUCGCAAGAUUAAAACUUAAAUGAAUUGACGGGG